AGACUAUUUUAAUUUUAAAAUGAAAAAAUUACUUAUUUUGUGUUUGUGCAUGCAGUCGUGUGUACAUCCACAUGCCAUGUGAAGGUCUUAUGAAAGUCAGAGGACAACUUGGGGCAGUUGGUUCCAAGUUUCUUUGAGCAACCUAACAGCAGGCUGUGCCAGCUGGACAUGAGGGAGCAUUGAACUAAGGUGUUGGUCCAGACUGUCCAGCAUAGACUUAGAAUAAAGUGUUACAUGGCCACCAGAAUGGUGACUAUUCUCGAGCCUUAGAACCUGUAAUGAGAGUGGAGCUGUUCACAAGGUGUGAGGCAUGCCCCCAUGGACUAGUGUUUUGAUGGACAGACUCGCUGCACUUCUGGCAGCCAUUUUCCCUUGGGUGGAAGCACUGUUUUCAUCUGCGUGCUCAGUUCUCAGUACUUCCUGCAGCUGUGGUGCAGUGUCUGAGCUUGCCUCACUAUUGGGUUCUUAAGUCUCAGGGAAAAUGGUCCUUACAGUUUCUUACUUUCCUAAAGGUGAUAACCAUUUCCUGUUACAAUUAACUGUAUGUGUUUGUUUGUUUUUCUUGUGGGGGUGGAGGGCCUUCCACAGGCAGAAUUGGCUCAGGGGAGAGGAAACAUCAUAAACAUUUUACAGCUUGUUUGAAUGCAUCCACAGUUGUAAAGCAGUAUCCAAGGCUCCAGACAGUGGGAGAAAAAUUGUAGGCAUGAAAGUGAAUGGAAAAGGUGAAAAAACAGUAUUAAGUUCAAAGAAAUUGAACAUAUCCUUUAAAUAGGUAGACACUUCUCCACUGUUUGAUGACUUUUUAUACUGAGUCAAUUGCAGUAGAAGACUAGAAGGUCUCAAGCUGUUCCUGACACCUCCCAGUGCAUCAGCUGUCUUCUUGGCUCAUCAAGCUCUUUUGAAGCAGGUUUUCUUCAGGUGCGCGUGUUCAAGGCAACACACUCCUCUGUGUAGUAACUGUGUGUUCUGGCCCAGUUAUUGCCAUUUCCUUUACUUUUUAAGAGAAGUGAGAAUCCGUUACUAGAGUUAGCUUUUCCAGAACAGUAGGGAAAGGGCGAGCAUCUCGAGCUGCUAACUAAAGAUGCUGUAGUUACUGAGUAAAAGGUAGAGGUGUUUCAGCCCAUGCUCCAAAGCAGUCUGAGGGCAAAGCCCUUCAGAAAACUCAUUAUCAUGGUGAAACCCCCUGGAUACAAAUGUGUCAAGGAAUAGUAAAAUGCAACAAUGUUUUUCUUAAUUUGGCUGUCUGGGACCAGAAAAGGAAAGUCCUGAGGAUGUCUAGUUGGCAUCAUAAGCCACUUUGCCAGUAGGCUGUCUUUAAGCAUCUUAUGGAGCGGUGGAUAGUUUAAGAAUUCCCUGAGAAAAACUAAAAUAAGGCAUUAUUGCUACCUGAGAUGUGUAUUUUACACAAGUUCUAAAUGAAACAGCCCAAGUAGACAAAUUUAGGAAAGACAAACCUAGGUAGUAAGGCAGUAGCUCAGUGUGCACCAUAAACACUAGCUAAACCAUACAUAGUGUGUAAAGUCAAACCCUCUUUAAGUCAGUCUCACACUCUCUGAUUGCCCCAUGAUGACAUGAGUGGAAAAUUCCCUAUAUGAUCCCAUGAAGUGGCCCUGUGCAGAACACAGGCACACUAAUUGCAAAUAGUAGUACAUACAUUGCCUUCAGAUCAUAUUUAUGUGCAAAGAAAAGGUUCCUGUUCAGGCUGGGUCCCAUCCCAGGACUCUCGUGUAUGUGCAAAUACGUUAAAGUAUGGAAGAAUGACAAAUUGGAAUGGUUUCUGGUCCCAAGCAUUGUGUAAAGGGAGGUCUGCAUGUGUGUGCUGGGGUUCUUAGAACUGUGCAGAACUUGCUAGGUCCCUGGGAUAUGCACUGCUUUCCAGCUUGUCUAGUGCAUUUAGUGUAGGUUGCUGGCUCCCCUGCCCCAUGUAGAAAUGGCCAGUUUGUGUAAAUUUGCCCACUGGUAGUGUCACUUCUGGUUUUGUUGUAUGCUUAAAAGAUAUUCUCACACUAGUGUAAGAAAGUCUCCAGUGCCUCCCUGCAAAUGCUUUGUUUCUGACCUCAUUUAAACCUCAUAUGUGUACAAGAGUACAGGUGCCCAUAGAGGCCAGGAAAGACUCAAGUCCCCUGGAGCCAUAGUUGCACGUGGUUGUGAGCCACCAUGGGGGUGCCAAGAAUGAAGUGGGGUCCUCUGUAGGCAUCAUGAGAUCUUAACCACUGUGCCAUCUCUCCAGCCCCUGAAUUACAUUCUUAAUGAAUUGUUUUACUUUUGGUCUACUAAUGAAAUGAAUGUUACGUUUAUAGUUCUAAAUAUUAAAUUUUCACUGAACACUUGGUUAUAGUGUUUGCUUUUGAUAUUUGAAUUAUAUAAAUGUACUAGCAUUCACAAACAGAUUUAGCGUUAGACUGUAUAUUCAGAUAACUUUUGUGAAAAUUGUGCAUAUACUAGUUUUUAUUUAUUUGCUGUACAUUUCAAAAAUUAUUAUAUACUAGUUCCUUUGCUUUUGAUUAUUAUUAUGGGCUAGAAGAGAAUUUGACCACUGAAAGUACAGCAAAAAUCAGCCUCUGACCAUGUCCCACCAAGUUGGUCUUUCUGAGGAAGCUUUUUGACCACCUUUUCUUUAUAUCUUUGGAAAAUGAAAAUUUUAAUUGAUCAGAGAGUCAAAUUUUGAUCACUUAUAUUGCCUUACAAGACUAUAGCACCUGUAUUUUGUGCUGACCUGAGUGAGGUAGCAGCUUGGUCUUCUUGCGGCUCCCCUUUUGCCCUGUCAGUGUGCCCUAGGGAGGACUGGUUUGCAUGGGUCUGUUUUAGGGCAUCACUGUGCCCAUGCAUAUGCUUUUAGUUAUUUAGGUUUUUAUUGUCAAUAUCAUACCAGACAAUGAAUGGAUAUUCUACAGUUAAUGCUUAAAGCAUUUUGUUGUGGGUCGCCUAUAUUGUGUUUAAUCCUGUCCCGAUGCCCUCGUCCAUCUCCUGCUCCCAGGUCUCCGGCGUGUGCACGCUCAUUUUCAGCUUCUGCUCUGCUUGCUUGCCAUCUUGUCAUGUUUAAUGUACUUUCCGUUUUUGUUGAUUCUUUUGUUUCACUGUUUGUGGUGUUUUAAUGAUAACUUAAAAACUUCUUGUGCUGUUAUUUAUUAAUUUAAAUACUCUCUAAGGUAGCUUUUCAAAGCCUUUGGCUAAAAACGUGGGAGAAUUAGUGUGCUUGCACUCAUCUUCCUCCUGACGUUCUCAUUCAUUAAUUGUCAGAGACUCUGUUCUGUUCUCUAAUCAUAAUCUCCACAUUCCUUCCCACCUUACUCCUUCACUUAAUUGUAAGACAGAAAAAGGGAAUCUGUAAAAGCGAGCUGUCUCCUACACAGUCGCCAUCCUCCCCAACUGAAAAUGCAGGGCUCGGCAGGACCCUUGCCUGGCCUUUCUCCAGAACAAGGACACAAAUUCCACUUUUGAGUCAAGGAGGUCCUUAAAUGCUGGAUUUUUAUUUUCUAUUUUCAAAAUCAUGAUAAAAACUUUUCUGUCCUGUUUCAUCUCCUUGAAGUCAUUGUAUUACUUUCUUUUCUUAUAUGGGUAAUUCUCCAUGAAGAGUUUGAGACAGUCAGCUUUGUCUUAUAAUUUGAUUGAUUUUUGUUGUUGUUGUUUUGAGGCAAAGUCUUACUUGUUACCCUAGGCUAGCCUUAAACUCACUAUGGAAGUUUUGUAGUCUAACCUGUCGUUUAGCUCAAACUCCUGAGCUAAUGCAUCUGAGGUUACAGGCGUGCAGCCCGUGCCUGGCUUUAUGGUCUGUUUCUAUGGAUUGCCAAAGGGCCUGUUGAAGAUGACUAGUUUACAGAAAGACAGAAUGUUGACGUUUUCUGGGUUUUUGUUGUUGUGUUUGUUUUGUUUUCUUUUAAAUGAUUAGAAAUAGAAGAAAUAUAUAGACUUGUUUGAAAUAAAAUAAAAUCAGUAAUCGAGCUUAAACUAAAUGAAGUACAGAUGGACAUAAGCAAACUGUGAAAUGGAGCGAGUGUAGCUGGUGAACACAGGAUUUUCUAUAUUUCUUUUUUUGUGUGGUUCAGUGAGGUUUGAAACUUAUUUUUUAUUUAAAAAAAUACCAUAAACAUGUAAUCAACACCAGUGUGUACAUUUUGCUUUUCUGAUGAUGGCAUGAGUCCAUGUUUUAUUUAUUUAAUAAUGAUUUACAUAGUUCUAUACAUUCCUUAGUUUCAUAUGCUCAUCGGUACUAUUUUCUGAGUUUUAAAUACAAGUUUUUUUUGUGUUGACUUUUUUUUUAUUGAAUUUUUUAAAUUUACAUUUCAAAUGUUAUUCACUUUCCCAGUUUCCGGUCCAUCAAUCCUCUAUCCCCUCCCCCUUGAAUACAAGUUAUUUUAAAGAUUUAAAGAGUUCUAAAGCCCUAGAUUGAAGAUUGUAAACGUCUACCUUAGAGUCUUCAGGGUCAAGGCAGUAAUGCUGAAAUUAAACUGAUUGUUCAACUCAGUGUGUUCGUGCUUUGCGUUUGUUACUGGACUAUUUCAAACCAUCAGUGCUCCAAACAUACGGCUUAAAACAGCGCCUGUUCCUUAGUGAGCACGGUGAAAGAGUCAAUAUAUUGUUAGAUUGCCCUAUCCUGUGUGAAAGUCAUUUGACUUUUUGUAGUUCCCUUUCUUUUUAAUUUUGUUUAUAGCUUUAAAAAAGUGCUUCUGUCUUUACAAAUGUUUAGAGUGUGACCGACACUCCGGACACUGCAAUGGCUGAGGACAGUGUUAAAGAACUGCAGCAUGAAGGGCUGGCACAGUGCUUUACUGGGGAUGAGUCUUUGAUUUAACUUGGGAUGCGUUUAGAAGGAAACUUUGAAGAGCUGGAAAUAAAAUCUUUGCCUGAGUCAUCAUUUUCCAUGAAAAAAAAAAAAG
rnacentral:sRNA from 1 species